CCUACGGGGGACAGCAGUGAGGAAUAUUGGUCAAUGGGCGCGAGCCUGAACCAGCCAAGUCGCGUGAGGGAGGACGGUCCUAUGGAUUGUAAACCUCUUUUGUCGGGGAACAAAAGCCGCCACGCGUGGCGUGCCGAGAGUACCCGAAGAAAAAGCAUCGGCUAACUCCGUGCCAGCAGCCGCGGUAAUACGGAGGAUGCGAGCGUUAUCCGGAUUUAUUGGGUUUAAAGGGUGGGCAGGCGGAAUAUCAAGUCAGCGGUAAAAGCGAGAGGCUCAACCCCGUCGAGCCGUUGAAACUGGCUGUCUUGAGUGAGAGAGAAGUAUGCGGAAUGCGCGGUGUAGCGGUGAAAUGCAUAGAUAUCACGCAGAACUCCGAUUGCGAAGGCAGCAUACCGGCGCCCAACUGACGCUCAGGCACGAAAGCGUGGGUAUCGAACAGGAUUAGAUACCCGAGUAGUC
rnacentral:rRNA from 1 species